rnacentral:lncRNA from 1 species
UUGCAAGAAGCACAAGAUCGAUAUAUGGAGGCCGCGAAAUGUAUUGAGAAGAUGCAGCAUCAAGUGCAAAAGCUUGAAAAGGAAAAUGCCGAGUUAAAAGAUACAAACAAAAUGCAAGCGGGCACAAUUGAAGAGCUUCAGAGAAACCCGCCGGGUCCAAGUUCGUUGCAAGAAGCACAAGAUCGAUAUAUGGAGGCCGCGAAAUGUAUUGAGAAGAUGCAGCAUCAAGUGCAAAA